rnacentral:rRNA from 1 species
GCCUACGGGGGGCAGCAGUGGGGAAUAUUGGGCAAUGGGCGCAAGCCUUACCCAGCAAUACCGCGUGAGUGAAGAAGGUCUUCGGAUUGUAAAGCUCUUUGAUCAGGGACGAACAGAUGACGGUACCUGAAGAACAAGCCCCGGCUAACUACGUGCCAGCAGCCGCGGUAAAACGUAGGGGGCGAGCGUUGUCCGGAAUGACUGGGCGUAAAGGGUGAGUAGGCGGCAUGGUAAGCCAGAUGUGAAAGCCUUGGGCUUAACCCGAGGAUUGCAUUUGGAACUAUCAAGCUAGAGUACAGGAGAGG